rnacentral:rRNA from 1 species
UAGUAACGGCGAGUGAAGCGGCAACAGCUCAAAUUUGAAAUCUGGCUCUUUUAGGGUCCGAGUUGUAAUUUGCAGAGGGCGCUUUGGCUUUGGCAGCGGUCCAAGUUCCUUGGAACAGGACGUCACAGAGGGUGAGAAUCCCGUACGUGGUCGCUAGCUAUUGCCGUGUAAAGCCCCUUCGACGAGUCGAGUUGUUUGGGAAUGCAGCUCUAAAUGGGAGGUAAAUUUCUUCUAAAGCUAAAUAUUGGCCAGAGACCGAUAGCGCACAAGUAGAGUGAUCGAAAGAUGAAAAGCACUUUGGAAAGAGAGUCACACAGCACGUGAAAUUGUUGAAAGGGAAGCGCUUGCAGCCAGACUUGCUUGCAGUUGCUCAUCCGGGCUUUUGCCCGGUGCACUCUUCUGUAGGCAGGCCAGCAUCAGUUUGGACGGUGGGAUAAAGGUCUCUGUCACGUACCUCUCUUCGGGGAGGCCUUAUAGGGGAGACGACAUACCACCAGCCUAGACUGAGGUCCGCGCAUCUGCUAGGAUGCUGGCGUAAUGGCUGUAAGCGGCCCGUCUUGAAACACGGACCACGGAGUCUAACAUCUAUGCGAGUGUUUGGGUGUCAAGCCCGAUGGCGUAAUGAAAGUUAACGGAGGUCGAAACCCCCAAGGGGGCCCAUCGACGGAUCCUGAAGUUUUCGGAAGGAUUUGAGUAAAACCUUGCUUCUGGGAACUCGAAAGAUGGGGAACUAUGCUUGAAUAGGGGGAAAUCCAAAGAAGAUCCCGGGGAAGCUCCGAUUCGUUUCUAACGGCGAAUUCGAUCGCCAAAUUUGGGCUA